AGGCAGCAAAAACAGAAAAUUCCUCUUGAUUUUCUCAGGGGUGAUAAGUUUCAAGAAGCAGCAGAGAACUAUAUUAAACCUCUCAUGACUAAAGGCUAUAUGGGGUUAGGAUGAUUCCUAUGUAUUCAUUGGCAACUUGCAAAGGGGAGUUGACAUGAUUUCAAUAGACAAAAGAGAAUUGUUUCGAAAUUACAAAGUGUACACAUGCCUGCUAUCCAAUGGCGCUUUGAUGCACACCAGUAUGAGGUCGGGAUGCUUGCUGGUGCUACCAUCGGUGGUCAGGUCUUUGCAACCUAGGGCCUUUGCAGAAACCUUAUGUGGUUCACCACUAUACGGUGGAUGCCAAACUUGCCUCCAUCUUUGCUUGGACACGAGGACUUGCUCACAGGGCUAAGUUGGACAACAACGAUAGACUCUUGGAUUUCACCGAGAAGCUUGAAGCAGCUUGCAUUGGUGCCGUGGAGUCUGGAAAGAUGACCAAGGAUCUUGCACUUAUCAUCCAUGGGUCAAAGCUUUCAAGGGACACAUAUCUAAACACUUGAAGAAUUCAUUGACGCUGUGGCAGAUGAACUGAAAGCUAAACUGUUGAAAGCCAAGGCAUAAUUGAUAAAUGCUUGGAUGCAGCAAUAGAAAUGACAUUGUAUUUGACAGAGAACAGAAAACAGAAAUAACACCUCGCGACAAGAGUAUUGAUUUCUUUUAUACAAAUAAUCAUGAUCUGU